GAUGAACGCUGGCGGCGUGCUUAACACAUGCAAGUCGAACGAAGCGAUUUAGCGGAAGUUUUCGGAUGGAAGUUAAAUUGACUGAGUGGCGGACGGGUGAGUAACGCGUGGGUAACCUGCCUCACACUGGGGGACAACAGUUAGAAAUGACUGCUAAUACCGCAUAAGCGCACAGGACCGCAUGGUCCGGUGUGAAAAACUCCGGUGGUGUGAGAUGGACCCGCGUUUGAUUAGCUAGUUGGUGGGGUAACGGCCUACCAAGGCGACGAUCAAUAGCCGACCUGAGAGGGUGACCGGCCACAUUGGGACUGAGACACGGCCCAAACUCCUACGGGAGGCAGCAGUGGGGAAUAUUGCACAAUGGGGGAAACCCUGAUGCAGCGACGCCGCGUGAGUGAAGAAGUAUUUCGGUAUGUAAAGCUCUAUCAGCAGGGAAGAAAAUGACGGUACCUGACUAAGAAGCCCCGGCUAACUUCGUGCCAGCCGCCGCGGUAA
rnacentral:rRNA from 1 species